rnacentral:lncRNA from 1 species
GGGUAAACAAGAUGUGGUAUAUCCAUACAGUGGAAUAUCAUUCAGCCACAAAAAGGAAUGAAAUGCUGAUAAAUACUACAACAUGGGUAAACUUUGAAAAUAUAUGCUAAGUGGAAGAAGCCAGACACAAAAGACUUCAUACUGUAUUAUUCCUUUUACAUGAAGCAUCUAGCAUAGACAAGUCCUUAGAGACAGAAAGUAAAUUGGUAGUUGCCAGGGACCAGGGGAGGGGAAAUAGGGAGUUUCUUCUAAUGGGUAUAGGUUGGUUUUUUUGGCAGGUGAUGAAAAUGUUCUAGAAUUAGAUAGUGAUGAUGGUUACACAACUUUGUGGAUAUACUAAAAACCCCUGAGCUGUACACUUUAAUAGGGUGAAUUUUGUGGCAUAUGAAUUAUAUCUCAAUAUACAGGCAAAAAAAAAAAGGAAAAGAAAAAGAACACCCACCUCCCCUCAUGAAGCAGCAGCAUUUGUAGGCACAGUGUGGUCUAAAUCCAUUCUUGGAAAAUAAAUUUACCAAAGGAAACAUUCUGCAUGCAGAGAGCUUUAAAAAAACCAACAGAAGGGGCUGGCCCCGUGGCCGAGUGGUUACGUUUGCGCGCUCCACUGCAGGCGGCCCAGUGUUUCGUUAGUUCGAAUCCUGGGCGCGGACAUGGCACUGCUCAUCGGACCACGCUGAGGCAGCGUCCCACAUGCCACAACUAGAAGAACCCACAACGAAGAAUACACAACUAUGUACCAGGGGGCUUUGGGGAGAAAAAG